UGUAAGAUCUUGAGGGUAU
rnacentral:miRNA from 1 species